CUUUAUUGGAGAGUUUGAUCCUGGCUCAGGACGAACGCUGGCGGCAUGCCUAAUACAUGCAAGUCGAGCGGACUUGAGGAGAAGCUUGCUUCUCUGAUGGUUAGCGGCGGACGGGUGAGUAACACGUAGGCAACCUGCCCUCAAGCUUGGGACAACUACCGGAAACGGUAGCU
rnacentral:rRNA from 1 species